UACGUAGGGUGCAAGCGUUGUCCGGAAUUAUUGGGCGUAAAGAGCUCGUAGGCGGUCUGUCGCGUCGGAUGUGAAAACCCAGGGCUCAACCCUGGGCCUGCAUUCGAUACGGGCAGACUAGAGUUCGGUAGGGGAGACUGGAAUUCCUGGUGUAGCGGUGAAAUGCGCAGAUAUCAGGAGGAACACCGGUGGCGAAGGCGGGUCUCUGGGCCUGUUCUGACGCUGAGGCGCGAAAGCUAGGGGAGCGAACAGG
rnacentral:rRNA from 1 species